GGGCCCCAUGCCCCACCAGCCUCGGGUCAGGCCAUCCCGGCUCUGCCCUCCCCCCACCCCCUGCAUGCAUGAAUCUUGGCCUGUGGGGCUGCGAGCAUGUGUGAGCGUGCAUACCCGCGGGGCUUUUCUCUUUUUCCCUUUUGUUCUGCUCUGACCUCUACCUGGUUCCGACAGGGCUGAGGGUGCAGGAGCUUCCUGCCGCUUUGGCCGGGCAAGGUGUGCAGCUGGGCUCUGCCUCCUUAACUCUGCACCAGCUCUCUCUCUCUCUCUCUCUCUCUCUCUCUCUCUCUCUCUCUCUCUCUCUCUCUCUCUCUCUCUCUCUCUCUCUCUCUCUCUCUCUCUCUCUCUCUCUCUCUCUCUCUCUCUCUCUCUCUCUCUCCUCCUUCCUUCCCCUCCCCUCCCCUUUCCCUUUUCCUCCGUCUCUCUCAAGAUUUCCCUGCUGCUAAGUCUGCUGCUGCUGCAGGAGAGCUGGGGGAAGGGCAGGGGUGCGGAGUCGGGGUGCUGGUGUCUUCUUUCUCUCUCUGCCCCCCCUCCAAGUGCGGACGCCACGGGAGCUCCGGCCCGCCCCCACCCCUGCAUUUGCGAUUGGCUCCGGGAGGAGGUGGCUACCGCUGCCGCUGCUGCAGCAUCUCCCGGGGAGCCGCGACCCUGCGCCCGCUGCCACUGCUGCCGCGGUCACCAGCCCAGCCCGAGGGGCGCCCAGGGUUCCCUGGUAGCCACCUGCAGGGACACCUGUUCCAGCACCUUACCUGCAGGCUCACCCUGGGUGAUGGUGAGCCUCCUAGCAUGAAAAUGAUGUACCUGGUCCGUGGUCUGGGGUGCUGCUCCUGAAUUCUGUCUCCUUACCCCAUCAUCUGUGUCCUCUUGGGACAAGGUGGGCAGGAAGGAGAGGGAAGAUGUUGGCAGAAGCUGGGUGUUGUUUCUGAAUGUCUGGGAGAAUGUGACUCUCUUCCGUCAGGGAGAAUGGGAGGGAACUCCAGUCUUAUUCCAUUGAGGGAAAAAUGACCAACGGUUAGGGACAGUGAGAUUUUUUUGAGACUUUCCAGCAUGCUGUGUCUGCUUCCAACCUUCUUUAUCAAGUGUGCACAUGUGUGAGAGAGACUGAGCCACAGGCAGAGAGGGUGCAGAGUGGUAGAGAUGACCACAGAAGAAUCACUGGGGGGUGGGGAAUGGGUCCUGACUUGGCAUGGGGAACUUGAGCCAACAGAACUUUGUGGGAGUUCUGUCUUUCCCCCACCAAAUGGGGUCGGUCCGCUUUGGGCCACAUUCUUGUACACACCGAACUACCUGCUUGGGGCACACACUUCUUUAUAUGCCCAUAUGGACCUGCUAAACUAUGGAAUGUAAAGAAGUGUGUAUUUCAGGCCAGGGACUCUCUCGCCAGACUGAGGGGGUGGCCUGUGCCAUGUGGGUGGCUUCUCGGGGUGGGAGAUGGACAGGCAGGGCCAUGGGAGGCCGCCUGUAAGGGGACUGGCUGUGUCCCUGACGGCAUUGUUCUGCCACUUUGCCUGUGUCAGCAGGUGGAAGCGCUCGUCAGACAUUAAAUAUUCAGUGUGCUGACUGCGGCAGAGGGAGGCGGCCCUCUGGCAGGCCUGGGGUCCCGAGUGGGGCCGGUGGGGAUGGGGGUAUGGGAGCUUGGCUUUCGAGUGGAGCUGGUAGUGACCCUUGUGUUCUGAAGAGGUACUCUCCAGCAGGAAGGGUGUGGGGACUGGGUCAGGGACUGCUCAGGCCACUGUGAGAGACUGCAAGUUCUAAAGGGCUGUGCUCUGCAGGGGGAGUGUGAAAAGAGGGGAGAGACUUUGGUAGCCACAUGGCAGAGGCUUUUGAUGGAAGAGUCUCCUGCUGCCCUGGGUCUGACUCACAGGCCUGGUGGAGGAGGGGAAGGUGGAGAGCCCUGUGCAGAGAUACCAUUGACCCCAGGGUGCUGCCAGUCCCAGCUCUACUCCUGGGUGCCCUGGCCACCCAUGAUGAUUAAGAUAAUGGAGCCAAGUGUCUGAAUCUGUCCCAACCUGGGUGGAGGAGUCAGCCCUAGGGGCCUGGGUAAUGCAGCUCAUCCUGGGACCCUGGGGGCCUAAGCUGUUUCGCUAACUCUGCAGGACUAUUCUGGCCCCGGAUUUCCCUUGUCAGAGUCCCAGCAUCAUCCCGUUCUCCUUUCUCACCAAAUCCUACCUGAAACCUUUUUGCUGGGAAGGCUAGCCAAGUUUCUGCAGAAACUUGUGCAGCCUAGGAUCCCUGUCCUGCCUGCUUUGCUGACAGCUGGUCCGGCCAGGAAAAAGGGCUGGGUUAACAGACUUUGGUCCCAGGAAAGGAAGGCAGGAUCUUCCAAGCCCUUCCCACAGAGUGGUACUAUUCAGGUAGGAUGCUGAGCAAAGGGUUCUGGGUGCAGCAGAAAGCUGGCUGGCUGUGACUCGCCAUUGCCUGGCUUCAUUUCUGGGUCUCAAGAGUAGAGGGUGUCUGUGACCGGGCUGGAGUCAGCAUCCCCACACUGGUGUCUCUUCCACAGGCCUGGGGCUUUUUCUCAUAUGUAAGUGAGGGUGUAAAUGCUGUUGUCAGUUGCCCCUACCAGCUGUGUGCAGCAGGUGCCCCUGUAUGUCCUGUACAUUCCUUUGGCAGGAAUGCGAUUGGGAGGAGUGGCAGGUCCUCUCUGUCAGCUCUAAGUGCUGGGUCUCGGGCACCUAGGUGAUCCAAGUAGCUGAGGCUUGGCUGAGGCUCUUUAGACCAAAUGCCAUGGACAGAUCUGAGCUCACAGGUGACUUUCAUUCUGGGUGGUCUUAGGGUGACUGUAACUGAGGGGCAAGGAGCCUCCACAGAAAAGAGUCCAUUUCCAGUUUUCAAGUCUUCUUUUUGGAAGCUCUCUGGAUCCACGUGUGCAGAGGGUAUGGUAAUGAGAAGGCAGCCUUGUCCUUGGCACUACCUCCCUCUUGGUCAUUGGUCCUGAGUGGUCAGUGCUCCAUAACCCCCGGAAGGUCAUCCAUACCCCCACUUGAUUCCAGCUCCGGCCACAGGGAGGUAAACAGCCGGUGUGUGGCCACUGAGGUUGCCAGCGGCCACAGGCACACCACUGUCUUCCGUUAGAUAUGUCUGUCAUACAUUAAAGCUUUAUUGCAGGAUGUGGUGUUUAAAUAAAAGCCUUAGUGUUUUGGAAUUAGGUUUGACUGAGCAGUAAAACUAGAGAGUUUGCAGGGAGCGAGCCUCAGCCUUCUUGGUUAUAAAUCACCUCAGGACUCUUCACCUGCUGAAUUAAAGAUGAGUACCUUGGACACCUCCCUGCAAGUCUGCCCCCACCCCCAGUCUGUGAGAGGGCUGAUUCCCUGGUGACACUUGUGAGGGGACUGUGGUCGUGACAUCUGGUGUAUGAGUUUUCACAGGAUGGACUGGGGAGAGACCCCACGCCAUCCUGGUGUGUGGUUGGCCAAGAUGGUCUUCUAUGGUGUCUUUGGAUUUUCACAUGGGAAGGAGGCAUGAGGCAGGCUAGGUUGGGACAGGGAUCCCCACGAGGACUUUCUUAGUUUGUGUAUCAUUCCAGACACACAGACAAAGGCUUGGAUUCUAAGAGCUAAGGGAGCCUAGAUGAAGCCCCGGGGAGCGAAGAGGACACCUUACCUAACCUGGUCAUGCCUAGCAGGUUGGGGAGUCAAAAGAGCAAGCAGCUGUGAGGAAUUUUGAGCUCCUUUUUCCGAUCUCACAGGGACAGGGCUGUACCACUUGGUCUCUUCAGCUUCCAGAAUGUGCUGGAAGCAUUUGUGCUAUGAACAGAGUUCAUGGGGACCUGAACUCUGCUGAGAGAGCAGUAGAUUUGAGAACCAUGGGUCUCCUAGGUUCAGGGGACACAGUGAGCUGAAUAUUCCCAUGCUUCGGUUCACACCUGGAACUUAACUAGGACUGGGCAGUCUGCAGAUUGGGCUGAGCCUCAUGAGUAUCAAAGUGAGGUGUGUGUGUGUGUGUGUGUGUGUGUGUGUGUGUGUGUGUGUGUGUGUAAUCAAUUACUGAUUUUUAGCCAGGUGACCAAGGACAUUGUGCCAGCCUCUCUAAAGAGGGGGUCUGAUACUGAUUCCAGCUAAACAAAUAGCACCGUACCUUGAGUGGGAUAAAGUAUUUUUACAGCACAAGUGUUUCAGAGUAUGUGCUGGCCUGAUAAAGAACUAGCAGGCUCCUUAGCAAACUCAUUUAGAGCUGUUGGCUUCAUGUGAAGAGCAGCAUCCAAGAGUAAACCACUAUUAAGCGUGGUUAGGUUGACGGCAGGAUGGGUAUUUUAGCUGCCGUAGUCUAAGUCAGUCAAAGUGAAGAUGGCUCGAAACGCAUACCGCGCGCCCCUUCCACUCUGCCCCCACACCAAAAUAUUGUAACUUAAAAAAAGGGAGGGGACCUGAGUCAAUUUCAGGACCAGGGUACUGGGGCACAGGGAUGAAGACGCUGGGGAGGGUUGAGGGAGCUGUGAGCGACUGGUUAAUCGACACCACCUUUGCUGAAAGGGUAAUGAGCCUUCUGCAAGGUUUUGUGCUGACUCAGCAGCCAUGCAGCUCUGAUUGCAGACCGUCUCCCUCUACAGCAAAGCGCUGCUCCCUGCUUGAUGUCCACGGGCAGGGCACCCUCCUCAGGGUGGCCGGACUUGAGUGUGGUGUGGACCAGUAGAGGUAGGCUGUAAGGGUGAGAACACCUGGCCUUAUAAAGAACCUCAGUCUUGCCUGGUAUCCUUACCUGGCCAGCAACCCUGGCCCCAGUGUCCUCGGUGAAUCACACUUGGAAAGGGGCAGGCAUGGCUUUCAGGCAGGGAAGGGAGCAAAGGGUCAGUACAGGCAGUUCUCAGAUGCUGUGCUGGCUGCUCCUUCCUGGGCUCAGGACCUGGCCAGCUAGAGUUUGGGUUUGGAAGGUCCUCUAAGGAGGCUGCUGGGUGACCUUAGCUCUCCCAGUUCCAGGCUGUCUGUGACCCUGGAAGACUGGUGCUGCUGAUAAUGUGGGAGGGGCAGCAGCUGGAAUGGUGCAGGCUGCUGCAGAGCUGCUGCUGGGUGCUGCAGUGCAGCUGCAGCCGCAGGCACAUGCAGGCCUGCGUGUCUCAAGGGCAGAGAUGAGAGGCCACCUACAGCAGACCUUCAAAUCUGCAGGCAGGGUGGGCUUUCUGUGAGGUGGCCACUGCAAUAGUUGUUGAGGCCACUGGUGUCUUCAGGUUCCUAGGGGCCUGCUAAGACUCUGGGGUGGGUCUGCUAACUGCUAGGUGGGACAGCCUCACAGGUUACAACUGUGGGUGAUGGGAAGGGGCGGAGGCCUCCCAGGACUGCUCUGCGCACCUGGAGAACAGUGACAAGGAAGCCCUACUGGAAUGCUGAGAGUGGAACUUGUGGUCUGUUCCCUAGCCAAGAGAGUCCCCCAUGAAGUGGUUUAGAGUCUAGGGUCUCCUUCCCUGAGGCCAAACGGGGAGCUAGGGUUAAAUAGUGACCCCUCAUUGGUGCCGGGCAAACAUGUGGGCAGGUGCAUGUGUGUGUGUGUGUGUGUGUGUGUGUGUGUGUGUGUGUGUGUGUAAGACAGAUUCAGGAUAAAUAGGACACUGAACCAGAGUAUUUUUAACUGCAAGAAGGGGAGAGGGCAGCUGUCCUGAAGCCUGUCAUGGGGGUUCCAUGGGGACACUGUGAGGCUCAAGGGCAUCCAGGACAGAUGUGCCACCUGGACCCUGUCCUCCUGGCAGUCUCAUGUGUCCCCAGUCAUGCCCAGAUAUGGCCAUAGGGCCGUGUGUGUGCCUCCCCAGUCUUGUCCGUGUCAUGGCGGGUAUAAAUAGACUACAUUCUCAGCUGUCCUGUUGGAGAGGCUGGACUUGGGUGACUUGGGGCUGCAGAGCCCCCAGGAGUUCUCCCUUGAACCCUGCUGCCUCCCCAGUGCUCCCAUCAGCAGCUGUAGCCUGGGUGUGGCUCUGAGCCCACUCUGACUUGGUGUUUCUCCUCCUUGUGUACCCCUUCCAGGCUGUUGAGUCCAGGUGAGAUCUGGUGGCUUCCUCUUGUCCCUUCUCAAGGACACAGUGCGGCUUUUGCUCACUGAAGGAGGGCAGAAGAGGAAGAGCCCUAGUGAGUUGGUGGAGGAGAUGUUCUGGACUCCGCCUGUGCCAGGCCUGAGUUGCUGUAAGCAUGGGCCCUGCUGUGAGAUCUCCCCAGCCCACACUUGGAGCUUGGCAUUGCUCACUUUGGCCUCAGUAAGUGAGUUUCCAAUGGUGAGAUUCCAAACAUCAAAAGACGAGGGCCUGACACGAAGGAGUAAAAUGUUCAUCUGGCACCCCUCGAGCACAGGGUGCCACUCUCACGUCCAAAGACAGUGCCCUGUCCUGUCAUGUCUCUGCACUCUGGUAGACCUCCCAAACCAUAGGGAGAGUAAGAACACCGUAGAGGGUGGAGCACACUGUUCACUGUUAUUACCUGUGCCUCCCAUGGCAUCCUAAAUCCUAUGGUGGCUGAACAGGACAUGCGUCAUCUGACAGCAUGUCUGAAUUCCACGCUCUUGGCACUGGUAGCUGCAGCAUCUGUCUCUGUGGGAAGAUGGGGUACAGGAUAUUUGUGACCCACCUGUCCUGCCCACAGCAGGGGCUUUAACCAGACUCUGUUGACAGCCACUCGCCCCUCCCCCACCUCUUCUCAGAACAGAAACUCUCCCUGACCUCCAGGACCUGUGAUUGAGUUCUUAGUUACAAGUUUUGUCUUUGAGUAGAAGCAGGGAUCACUAUGGCCCUAUCUUUGAGAUAAUAAGACACACACACACACACACACACACACACACACACACACACACACACACACACUGUCUUUCCAUUUUUGCAAAGAACAGCAAAACAAUUGUGUGUCCCUUCCCAUCCCUGCCUCUUCUGCUUGCCCCUUGUUCUGUGGGUCUGUUUCAGGUGAAAUUUAUCUCUAAGAAGGGCCUCAUCAAUUUGCCAUGCUCCUUUGUUGACAAGUUUAUUAAAAAUCCAGGCAACUCUGUAUUAAACUUUUAUCAGUUUUGAGAAAAAAUACAUUUUUUUGAACAGACAGGAAAGUUAUGGAUUUGAGCUGAAUGGGUCUUGGUGGUGUCUGGCUGAGUCAGCAUUGCUGAUACAAAGAAGUGAUGCUGUUUGUGGGCUAAGAGUUCCUCCUGUUUUUGAGUUGUGAUUUUUUUCUGGAGACUGCCCAUGGGACUCGGUACCCCCAAACAGGACUUCCAGAAAGUUCCUGAGAAGCAGUCCUGGCCAGGGCCACUCAUACUCACUGGUCUGUCUGCAACUCUUUUCUAUCUGUUUUAAUGGUGAGCCACAAUAUGGAGCUAAAUGUUAAUUUUGUGGUGAAUUUGCUUGCCAGUGGGCAAUAUCACUAUGUGGAGAAAUAUUAGGUUACUGGUGCUUAAAUUUUACAAGCUCCACAGAAAGAAAACAGAACGCACCAAGGAGGAAUUGGUGGCAUUCUCCUGAGGUGGGAGUGGGGACAGUGGGGUCAAGAACCUGCCAUUGGCUAGGGGCUACCCUGUGCUAGUCCAACUAGUGUCUUUGGCGUGGGAGGAUACAGGGUCCCCCAGAUGGGCUCUUAAGUCCUUGUGAGAACUCUGGCUACAGGUACAGCUGAACUUACUCUGUGGCCUCUCGGCAGUGGCUGGCUACACAUGGGACCAGGUAUUGGUUGUCCUUGAGCAGCAGUAUUUGGUAUUAGAAUUAGGUGAAGGAUUCAUCAUACCUACUGUGUUAGGGCAAGUGCCACAUGUCUCUGGAGCUGGCUGUGUCAUUUCUGCCCAAAGUAGCUGCUGUUCUUGACAUCCUGGGGUGAGGCUGAUGGUGCUGGAUGAAGCAGAGCCCUCUCACUGUCCUUGUUGGCCAUAUAGCCAGGGGUCACCUGUGGAACCACGGUAGGCAUGGAAUGACAGGCCACAUAGGACUAACCCUCAGUCUCAGGGUCAUCAAACUCAGGUGCUUACUGCUCCCCACACUUUUUAUGUUGAGAAACUUAGGCCCAGAGAGGCCCAGGAAACACCUAAUCACCUCUAGUUUGGAGUGCGUUACUCCAGAGUCUGUCUCAAAGGUCAGGCCUGGGGACAGACAGCUGCAAGGGACAACACUAAUCCUGCUGAGAGCUAGCUACUGCUUCUGAUCCCUGAGGCUGCUGUGUUACCUUCCUCCCAGCAGGGCGCCACAGGGGUCUUGAUCCCCUAGCAGAUGCAGGAGGGCUUCCUUGUGAGGUGGCAGCUGCUGCUCUAAUCCAUAUCCUAAGUCCGAGGAGCCUCAAGGGGUGAGAGUGAGCUGGCCGGUGCCAGCAACCACCAGCAUUGAGUGUGUGCUUGUGAGUGGUCCCCGAUCCAUCUCUAUCUCUAUUGCUCUUUGCUCCAAUUAUAACUAAUUGAGUGUGUACUGCAUUUUCAUGGCACCUAAUUUUCCAUUGAUUUUACCAGCGCUGCUGGUGUUUUCAGCAGCGAAUACCCAUGUCUAGUGUCUGUCGCUGCUUGGAAAUUCUGAGUAUGCUUCUCCCACAUGAGAUGACUCCAUCAGCAGAUGUUUUAAAACCUUUUUAUAACUGUUUGGCCCAUAAAAUCCACAAACCGUAGUGCCUAUGGUCCUGUCCCAUUCGCUUUGGAAAUCCAGUAAAGAGGAUCCCCAAAGAAGCCAUGCCCUCAGGUUCCAGUGCCAACCUUGCUAUCCUUGCAAAUGCUGCAUUUGCCAACCAUGGUUGGGUGCCUCUGUGCCCAGCAUGCCCCUGUGAGCUGACUUGCUUUCUAGGGUGGGUGGGGGAGCACCAUGGCAGAGUUACUUUUUACUAUGAUGAAGCCUCUCAUGUCUUGUGUCUGAGAGGGCAGGGUAGUUGAACAAAGAUAACAGUGCAGAAGAGGGCAGGACAGCCUGGGGAACAGAGGUUUUGAGAUGAAGUAAAUGCCCAGAUCUAGGAGAAGGUGGGUCUUGUGGAAAAGUCAUGGGUCCUUGAGGUUUUGGAGCUUUGUGAUGUGAGCAUCUUUUUGUUGUUGUUCAGAAAGAACAGAAAGAAAAUAAUAUCUACAAGGAGUUCAGGUAAUUCUUGGAGACCUCUCUGGACAGCUUCUAAUGGAGGCCGAGACCAAGUUCGCUUUGUCCAAUGGAAACAACCCAUUGAGACCAUUGGUAUAGAAGUUGUUGUCUCUUCAGGGUUCUAUGUCAUUGGUGUUUGAGGAGACUAAGCCAGUGUGUUGGCCAUUCACUCAGCGGAGUGACUAGGAGGCACUCCUGGUAGACCAUAUGGGGCAAGGGGAGCAAAGAUCAGGAUCUUUGCUGGAUGGUGACCAGGUGGUGACCACCUCAGGGUGGUGACUGGGGGAUGCUGAUGCUGCCCAAGCCUCCAUGUCCCCCUAGCGGCAAGAGGUAGUUGUGCCAAGCUGUGGGCAGACAACAGGAGCUGGUGGUGCUUCAGUUGUGUUGGGUAACAGGACACUGGGUGCUGGAUGUUAGCUCUGGAGGUGAUGACAAUAAGUCAACUCUUGGUUAAGACCAUGUAUGGACACACCCUGUAGAUUGCCUAGAGGUCCUGGUGUGUGUGAGCGAUAUGAACUCUGGCUAGCAGUGUUUACUCUCCUCCCUACACUGCUGAGUGAGUAGUUCAGGACCCAUGUCCUUGACGUAUUCAGCUCCGGUCACUCUGCUUCCCACAUGUCCUGUUAAGUCUGAGUCCAUCUGAGGAGUGCUGGGACAGUCUAGGAAGGAACCAAAGACCUGUUCAUCUGGGGGGAAAUUCCUCUAACCUGGUGACAUCUGGACAGAAUAAGAGUCUUUAUAAGGGCAAAGGGGAAUGCCAGCUCUGUCUUCCUGUGACUCUGAUCCUUGGCAAAAUGAAAUUGUGCCCAAGGGUUGGGAAUGUGACCUAGCACUGGGGUGGGAUUUCGGCUUGACACAUCAGGACAAGGGUGCCUGUGGUCCUCUUCCUUGGUCUCCAACAUGGUAGCUAAUGGCUUGGGGCCAGAUUCGGGGCUAAUUCUAUCUCUUGUCAAAUCUUCCUCUCCAUUAGCUAUAUUGACAACAUAGAUAAAGGGUGACUGUGGCCAGCAGGGAGAUGUAAAACAUUUUCAUUGGGGGCUGGAGAGGCAGGUGGGGAGCCUGGAGUUUACUCUGCUCUAAGAACAGGGGAGGAGAGCCAUGUGCUGAGCCAGAGACUGGUGGCUGCAAGUAUCUGUGUGGGCUGAAAGUCAGAUACCCCAGUGCUCCAGGGGGACAUCAAGGCCUCCCUGGGUGAAUCUUUCUGGAGGAGGUGAUGUAUCAGGGAUGCCUAGAGAAGGCUGCUGUGAACAUGGGCUGGAGUGGGUCUGGUGUAGACUGAGGUUGUGGGUUACCCAACAGUUCUUGGAUGGUUGAUAUUCCCUGAGGGACACACACAUACACCCACACCCACACCCACAUACAGACACACCACAUAGAGACACACACACAGGCAGACACACACACCGAGAGACACAUACAGAUACACACACAUACUCAUACACACGCACAUAUACAGACACACAUACAAACACAUACACACAGACACACACAGAGAUAGACAGACAGACAGACAGACAGACAGACAGACAGACAGACAGACAGACACACACACACACACACACACACACACACACACACACACGCAGAGGACACCAUGUCCCCUCUGACUCCCAUCCUUGUUCCUGGCGAACGGGUGUCAUUGGAAAACUAGUUUUCUUACAGGGAAUGUGAAACUUCUGAGUCACUGAGCAGGAACUGUGAAUUAGGAGGCUGAUAGCGCUAGAGAAUCAGGGCACAGACGCUGGCUUCUUCUGUCCCGUGUCACCUCUCAUGCCACAUAAACCAGGCUACACUGGAAUAUCCCAGCUGCUGCCCCCCCCCUCCCCGAGGCCAUGUAUGGCGUCUGAUCUACCCUUGCCCCCAAGCUCACUGCAAGCCAGGGCUGUCUGCCCAGCCACGGGCCCAUGGCUAACUGAGAGCAACCGUCUUGCCUUGACACAGUGAAAGUGCAUCUGGAUGAUGCUCAAGUGUGAAAACCUGUGACAUCUUCAAGUCCCUCAUGUGAGCCCGUGGCCAGAGUCUCGAUGGUCUUGGGAGUGACCAGACAGGACACUGGGCAACACUGGGGUAUAUAUGGGUUCAUGGCAAGUGUGAUGGAGAUUGUGGGACCCAGCUAAGGGCAGAAGGACCAACAGCUGCCCCCCAAGGUCCUGGGGGAUCACUCCGGGGCACAGAGAGGGUCUGAAUGUGCGUGUGUCUCCUCAGGCCCAGACCAUGUAGAGCUCCCAAGCCCGUGAGUCUGCAUGGGCUCCUGGAGAAGGGAGGGCCUGGGACGGGACACCAGCCUGACAGAGCCACCUUCUUCCUGGAGCCACUCGUCUCUGGAUCUGAAGCAGAAUGCUUUGCUGAAGCUGGUAAAAUGGAACCAAAUCAGCUGUUGGAUGGAUUUGGUCCCCUUCAACCAGCUGUAGCUGCGCAUUGAUGGCGCCGCCCAGCCCAGCCAGAGGACGCGGUCACGGCAAGAGGACACGGUCACGGCAAGGACUCUCCAAAGGUUGCAGGGAGGCCUCAGCAAUGUGGCUCCAGCCGCCUGGGUCCCUGAGUGGCCCUGGGUUGGAAUCCGGGGCUCCUCUUGUUUCCACCACAGGCAAGUGGAGGAGGAAGCCAACAUCUCCCCAAGCCGUGGCCGACCCAGCCCAGGUCGUUUGCCAGGAGGCUGUGAAAAUAAAUAAAUGUUCUGUUCACACCAGAGCUUUGCUUCAAAACUGAGCACUAAGGCCCAGGCAGAUGGGGUUGGGUGCAAGAAGUCUCUGGGUUCCCCUCAGUAAGUUCCAAGCUAAGGGUGCUUCCCUGGCCCUGGAAGGCAGCAUGAGUUUAUCCUGUCAGGUUUAUCCUGUCACUGGGGAGGCUGAGCUGGUGGCCACUCUCCAGAACACGUGGUGGUACGGGAUCUUUUGGGAAGAACCCCGCAGGGCCCUGCAUGGCUCUGUGGCACAGAGGCACACGUGAGGGUUGCUGUCAUGGAAUCAGGGUCAUGCAUCUGGCGGGAAGCCAGACCACCAACUGGUGCGUCUUUAGUUGGCGGAAGUGCAGGAGGUUGGCUGCAGUGAGGACACUCGCACACUUGCGCCUCUGCUUGGAUCCUUAUGCGUACAGCUCUUCCUUGGCAGGGCCCUGCAUGAGUUUGGGGCCACUGGGCACUCACAGCUAUGGUCUGGUGGCCUCUAAAUAAUGUGCCUGCCAAGAGUGAACCCCAACUCCCACCUAGAGUGGCAGGGAUAGGUUUGUUUAACUUAGGAACUAUGGCUGUUAGCCCGGAGUGGUUGAGACCUGGGACAGGGGUCUGAGAGGAGGUGGAAAGUGGCACCAGACAGACAGAAGAUUCUCCAACCCAGUCGUGGCUCAGGGUCAGCACUUAGCCCCGCUGCCUAGCCCAGCAAUCUUUCCCUGAUUCUGCAUAGACCUGGCAUCUCUCUUCACACAUGUUUGUCCCUAAGGGUGGGAACAUCAAGAAAUUGGAGGCUGUAGGAGGGGAAGGUAAGAAAGGACAGCCAACCCUUAGUGGGGUUUUAUAUCCCGGAGGCCUUUAUAGCUGGUAGUGGGGUUGGCAGCUUUCAGGGUGACAUUCCUCAACUUGAAACCCACAUGGACACACUGGCAGAGGGCUGCCCUUGAUGAGGUCUUUUGCAAACUUUUACCCAGUGAUUUGAGCUCAGUCUUGCCUAAGAGGGGAGAUUGGGGGACUCUCCAUCCCCUAACAGAGGACCUGGGAAGAAACCAAGGUCAGCCUUGGUUUGCUCUGCCUCCAUUUCCACCCAAGAGCAGAGACUGGAAAUGGUUUUCAAUGGCCUGUCAAAAACCCCACCCGGGUGAGAACUGGGCCUCACCCACCUCAAACAAGUACUGAGCCACACCCACUGUGAGCACUAGACCAUACUUCCAUGGGCACUAGAUCACAUGCAUCUAUGAACACUGGGCCACACCCAUCAUGAGCACUGAGCCACACCUAUCAUGAGCACUGAGCCAUACUGAUGUGAAUUCUGAGCCACAUCCAUCACCAUGAAGACUGGCUGCACAGGGAAUGAGCACAGGGUCUCACCCACUGUGAAUGCUGGACCACACCCACCACGAGCACUGGGAGCAGACCAAGACAUGCCCAGACCAAAUGCAGUGUGGGCAUGCUUAGUCUAUGGCCUCAACAUUUAAGAUAGGCUGUUGUGUCCCCAAACACACACCUCCUUCCUGGGCAGCCAAUCUAGCUUUGGGCCAAACAUUUCCUGACAGGACACAUCUCUAAGGCAGGUACCUACUGGGAAGAGGGGCCCAACCUGGUAAAAGGCACUUCUGGGGUCUAAGGACAGAGAUGUGGAUGGUGAAAAUUCGGCAAUGUCACCCUUGGACAGAGAGUUGACCCCCCAGUCCUAGCAUUGCUGAAAAUCCUGGGCCAGCCUGAGAUACCUCAGGCUCUCAUUAGAAAUUCAGAUUCCAGGCCCUGGUGGCCCCUAUGUCUGACCCUACAGGACAGGAGCCCAAGAACACAGAUUUUCAUCAAAUGCACCAGAGAAUCUUUCCCAUCAGGCAUUUUGACCUGGUUCCCCUCCAGCCUGGGGAUACUGGGGCCUGGCUUUCCUUUGCUGUCAUUUUACCCCAUGCCUCUGAACACUUAUGACAUUGAUCUUACCUCUGGGCUCCGGAAGUCAUUGCUGUGGUGCUUAGAGUCCAGAGUCACUGUCUAUAGGUCUUUGACCUUGUCAAUCCCCCCCCCCAUCUUCCUGCCUGAGCUGGGACUGGUAUGUACUUGCACAAUUGUCAAAUUCCAAGGCAAAGUGUGUUCCAGGGUGAAUUUCUCUCCCAUCUCUUCUUGGUCUUAGCCAUGCGAGCACAUGUGUGCACACAUCCACACAUCUGUGCCUAUAAUUCUAUGCAAAGGUCUCUCCUGGAGUCUUGUGCCUUGGCCCCACCUGGGUCAUGGGCAGCUCGGCUCAUGUCCUCUCAAGGUCCUGAAGUUUAUGGAUGAAUCCAAGAAACAUUGUCCUCUUGCUGUCCAUGAUUGUCCCUGUUCUAGGUCACUUGGAUGGCAUCCGUCUAACCUAGUUGGUGCUGAGACUUGUUUGGUGACCCUGUGGCCUGACUGAAGUCAUUCUGAUUUCUGGGAGCUCAAGGCCCAGGCCUCCUGCAAUUCUUUAUGGUCCUGUGGGGACCCCACUGUCACCCGGUACUCUCUGUUCCUUGUUUGAACUGCCAUCCCGGUCCCAGUGCCUUGUUCUUCCUCAAGUCCCUCAAGUGUCCCCAGCUUCCUGACCAUAACACUUGUAAGUGACAACUGUGUGCUGGGCCAUGGAGUCACUUGUGGUGACCUCUCGGUUCCUCUCCUCAUGCCUGGGCCUUGAGGUGAGUCUGUGGAAGAUACCACAGAGCAAGUGCUGAAAGGUGGGCUCCUAGAGGUUGUGGUUGAAUGCCGGGCUGGGUGGGGCUAGCGGAUGCGACCCUGGAGCUCUGAAUGCAAUCGAAGCUGAGCCCACCCAAGUGAGAUGGAGUGCUUCCAAUCCCUGCUUCCAUCCUAACCUGAAGACAGGAUUCUUGUCUGCCUGGGACACCAGCUUGGAUUAAUUUUCUUCAUGGGAUCUUAACAAAUGUGCUCGUGUCUCAACUGUACUCUGGGCUGCACAGUUGGGCUCUAGGUCCUGCCUGGAGCAUUUCUUUCCUACAAGCUGGACCCUAGGUUCCUGUUACUGACAUCUGAGUAUGGAAAGGGCAAAUGGCCUUAAGGACAAUCUAUCUCUGAUGACACAAGGCAUUCCCCUGUCAUUGAUAGGACACUGGCGCAGGAGGGCAGUACCUGAGUUCAUAUUUAGUGAGGCUCCGGGUGGUGUGAGCAGGAUGUGUCCCCUGCUGUCCAAGCCACUUCAGAGGAUUCCGUUGGUUCUGCUGCAUCUGGAUAUACCUUACCAAGCUUUCAGGCUUGGUGGGUCUGUUUUGUUUGUUUGUCUUUGGUUUUUGUCAAGACAGGGUUUCACUCUGUAGCUUUGGAGCCUGUUCUGGAACUCUCAUUGAAUGGGAAUCUUUCCAUUUCAACUAGACUGGCUGGUCAGUGAACUCUAGGGAUCUGACCAGCCCUGCCCCUGUCCCUGCUGCCAUGAUGGGGUAACAGGCCUGUACAACCACGCCUGUCUCUUUACAUGGAUGCUGGGAAUUCAAAUUCAGGUCCUCAAGCCUCCAGAGCAGGCCCUCUUACCUGUUGGAUCAUCUCCUCAGCCUCACAUAAACUUCUGGUUGUUGUUUUUAAACAACAUACAAGCCAUGUAUGGUGGUCUGUGCCUGUAAUCCCAGCACUUUUCGAAGUAGAGGCAGAAGUUUGGCUACUUAGUGGGUUAGAGGCCAGCCUUGGCUAUGCAAGACCCUGUCUCAAAAAAACAAAUGAAAGAAAAUAAAACCAAGACUGAAAUAAAAGACAUAAGGGAUAACCCUACUAUACAAAUGCAUGGUUUAAUUGGUUCAUCUGAGGCAAACAAACUUACACCCGUGGAAAUGUCAGAACUCUGCCUCUUCAUCCAGAAUGUUCCACAGGCCUUCACAGUGGAACACAGUCAUUCACAGCCUUCCUCUGUCCAAGAGUGACCCUGGCCCGUCCUUUAGAGGCCACCGACUAUGUUUUUUUUCCUGAACACUGUGACUGAGUUUUGCCUCUCUUCUUAAAACUUAACAGCUGAGUAGUACUCCCUUGUGUAAAUGUACCACAUUUUCUUUAUCCAUUCCUCAGUGGAGGGACAUCUUGCUUGUUUCCAGGUUCUGGCUAUUACAAAUAAAGCUACAAUGAACAUAGUUGAGCAAGUGUCCUUAUGGUAUGAUUGAGCAUCCUUUGAAUAUAUGACCGAGAGUGAUAUAGCUGGGUUUUGUGGUAGGUUGGUUUCUAGUUUCCUGAGGAACCGCCACACUGACUUCCAAGUGGCUGUACAAGUUUGCACUCUCACCAGCAAUGCAGGAAUGUUCCCCUUGCUCCACAUCCUCUCCAGCCUGAGCUGUCACUUGUGUUUUUGAUCUUAGCCAUUCUGAAAGGUGUCAGAUGGAAUCUCAGAGUCAUUUUAUUUUGCAUUUCCCUGAUGGCUAAGGAUAUUGCACGUUUCCUUAAGUGUUUCUCAGCCAUUUGAGAGUCCUCUGUUGAGAAUUCUCUGUUUAGAUCUGUACCCCACUUUUUAAUUGGAUUAUUUGGCUUGUUGAUAUUUAAUUUCUUGAGUUAUUUAUUUAUAUAUUUUGGAGAUCAGUCCUCUGUCA
rnacentral:lncRNA from 1 species